CUAACCUGUCCUAGUUUUCUUGAGAUUUUCCCAGUUUUAGCACAGGAAUUCAUGUCUUGAGAAAAACAGGAUGAUUUAUCGCCCUACAGAAUCAUUCAAACACAACUCUAAGUGCCUACUCUGUGCCCAGCAUUGCCCUUCAGGUAACUUGUGGUUUGGUCAGCCAGUCCCGUAGCCUGUCCUCAUCUGCAUUUGUCUUUCUUAUGUUUCCAUAAACCUUUAGAGGUUGCCCUUGUGUUAACAAUUUCACAUUCAUGCCUGGGCUUGGUCGUCCUGAAUGUUUGACCCUGUUAAUUUGAUUUUAUUCUCUGACACGAACUUGGGCUGCCAUAAAUCCAAAAUGAAAAUGCUGUUUGGAGUCACAAUGAAAAUGGAAUGCGAGAAGAUUCUAGAGAAGACAAAAUAACCCAAAGAAAAGAAGUAUGGAAGGCAGGGGUAGCAAGGCGGAGCUGUGCCCUGUCACGGCACACAGAGAAUGCCCAUGGAUUUUCACAAAUGCUGUUAAAAUGUGAAAAGAAGGUGUUUCUUUUUUCUUCAAUCUGAGCUUCAAGCUAAUAUGGGCAUUCAGCUAAAUCCCUCCUGGGUCCUGAAACAGUAUGUGGUUUUGGAUUUCAAAGAUAAUCCCUACAACUUCUGGGAGAGGUGCAAGUAUCAACCAGUUGGAGACACAGGGAAAGGGUGAUAUAAUGCAGAAAGUGACUUGAACAAAUUUACACAGAAGGCAGUGAAGUGUGAUUCAAAUUCAAGCAGUCUAGACUGUGCCCCACACAACUCUGCAGCAUAACCUUGCAGUAUGAAAAUAAUGCCUCUCAUGCAGAUCAGGGAUAUGAGAUCCAGUGACUUACCCAAAGUUUCAAAGGAAAGAUGUAACAGAGCCAUCUCUGAACUUCUGCUCUUGGGAAUCUACACACUCUUUCCACUAGUUCUGACCUUAGCAGGUGUUUGACCCAGGACUUGCCCAACUUGGUUUCCAUUUGUAUAGAACUAAUGCCAAAUUUCAAAAGAAAAUAUUACAUACCAUAAUCAAUAAAAACAAAAUAUCAAACAUGUAUUAUGUGGGAAAGACUGAGAUAAAUACUUGGCAUUGCAUUACCUCAAUACUGUUGGCAACCUUCCUACGAGCCUCAUGCAAUUACUGCUACCACUUUGCAGAUGAGAAAAAGAAAACUGAUGCUAAGCAAAGUUUAGUAACUUGCCCAAUAUCACAAGAAGUAGUGAGUGACAGAGGAAGACUUAGCUCACAUCUGAGUGUCUCCAAAUCCCAAAUCCCAA
rnacentral:lncRNA from 10 species